UACGUAGGGACCAAGCGUUGUUCGGAUUUACUGGGCGUAAAGGGCGCGUAGGCGGCGCAACAAGUCACUUGUGAAAUCUCCGGGCUUAACCCGGAGCGGUCAAGUGAUACUGUCGUGCUAGAGUGCGGAAGGGGCAACUGGAAUUCUCGGUGUAGCGGUGAAAUGCGUAGAUAUCGAGAGGAACACCUGCGGCGAAGGCGGGUUGCUGGGCCGACACUGACGCUGAGGCGCGAAAGCCAGGGGAGCGAACGGG
rnacentral:rRNA from 1 species